UGAUGUUUUAAAAAUCAUCAA
rnacentral:piRNA from 1 species